rnacentral:lncRNA from 1 species
GCUAUUUGGGUUCAAGCAAUAUUUUCAUUUCCUGACCCAACUUCCCUGCACAUAAAAAAUGAAACCCAACAAUCCAGCGGCAUCAGGCACCAGCACAGAGUGAGCAAAAGAGGCAGGCAGCGAGGAGCAAAAGCAGGACCCUGCGGCGCCAGGAGGCCGCAGCAAGUCAGGGGAAGUGGCUCGGUGACAAUUGUGAGCGCCCAGAAAGUUGUCCUGGCCGCAGCCCUUUGCUCCCUCCCGAAGCUGCGGUGGCCGAGGCUGCCUCCUGCUCGGCAGCAUCUCCCUUUGCUAAUGGGAUCUCCAGCCUGUGCUGUUCCCCUUUUUCUCCCCUCUUCUCCCUCUUUCUUCCCUAUUUUUUUUUUUUAACUUGGCUACGGAACAUUAGGUUUGACGAAGGGAAAGCGAUUUAACAUCUUUUAACUGAGGGAGGUUGAUUUUCAUUUGCGACCAAAUGGCUCCUUUUUACCUUUUUAGCUCCUGGAAGAGUAAAAAGUGAGAGGUCAGCCCUGCGUCACCAUGGCAACCCAGGCAGCUCAGGCCUGGAGCAGAUGAAGGGAGGUGAUAAUGGCAGGGAAGUUUCUCCCCCUUCCUUGGCAUUUUCUCCUCAUUCAGGGAAUGUUCCUGGAUGCAUGAAAACAAUUAUGUCUUUUUAGAAAUAUAAGUUUUAAAAUAUGGCUGUUAAUUACGGCCCAGGGCUCCGACCAUUCACAGAUCUUUCGGGGGUUUUGUUUGCAGUUGUGACCAUCUUUAUCCUCAUCAGUGACCACAGGGGCUUGAAUCACACCCGCGAGAUCGUGCAUGCCCCCACCCUGGCCAAAUCUGUCCUUCAAUCCAAGAGCCUACCUGCUGGCGUCCUGAAAGCCUGAAAUAUUAAUGAAGAGACAAUCAACCUCAGCACAUGAGACCUUAUUGGAGCCUCUCUGCAAAGAAAGUCUUGAUGCCAUUCCAGUUCAGGGACCUCAAAGAAUAAAGAGGAAAAGAGAACUUGAAAUGACAGACUUGCUAGAAAGCCAGAUUCAACCCUGCAGGAGUUGCCUGGGCCAGGGAAGGAAGGAAUGUCCACGAUCUCUGAGCUCAUGGACUCACACGUCCACUUCAUUCAGCCCAAUGUGGUCCUUGGUGCAUGGAGGCCAUGGUGACUAUGGCUUCACACCUGAGGGUGCCAGCAUGGGAUUAUUCUACUUGCUGGUGAAAAUUCUCAAGUCUGUGAAUCAACUGCAACGUGGUUUGACACACGCUGAGCUCUGUCUGCUCUGUUUCACCAGUUGGUGGUUUCUAAAUGGUUGGAACACAUCAUAGCCCGGCACAUAGUCCAAAUUAACUAUAUGCUCCGUGGAUGCUAUCAGCUGAUGCGUCUGACAAGCGUUUCCUAUGCCCAAAUAAGAGCCAUCUCAGCAGUUCUCCUGAGUGAGCCUCCCUGCAUGUGUGUGCACGUGGAACUCGUGUCACAUUCUCCUUAAGGCUGCAGUGAGCUCGUCUCUGUGGGCCUCCCAAAACACCAGGCUGGAAGCCCUGGAGCUGUCUCCAGGAGCCAUCACGCCAGUUCGUAAUGACCACUAGAGUAUGGCAUUAUAUAGACAUCCAGUGGAGGAAUUAAUUAUGGGGAACAUGAAGUCCUUCUAGGAACAGACUGAAGAUUUAACACCUCCCAGGUGAAUACUGUGCGGUGGGAGUGAGGAAGCAGCUCCGUUGGCUCAAUGCGGCAGGGAGCCUGCUCUACAUAACAAUGGCCCGGGAGGUGCACCUGAUUAAACCAGCUCAGCUCCAGGGUUGCCCCUGUCAGC